ACAGAUGGUUUAUCAUACUACCAUCUGCCAGAGAAUUACAAGUGAAAAACUUAAAACUCUAAGGACUUGACGGUGCCCCACACCAGCCUAGAGGAGCCUGUCCUAUAAUCGAUACCCCACGCUCCACCUCACCCCCCCUUGCCAAACCCCGCCUAUAUACCGCCGUCGUCAGCCCACCUACUGAUAGCAACAAAAGUCAGCAUAAUAGCACCCCGCUAGCACGUCAGGUCAAGGUGUAGCUAAUGGGGGGGACUAAGAUGGGCUACAUUUGCUAACCUCUAGCAAACCCACUGAGAGCCCCAUGAAACAAAGGGCCAGAAGGCGGAUUUAGCAGUAAACACCGGCAAGACCUGCCCACUUGAACACCGCUCUGGGGCGCGUACACACCG
rnacentral:rRNA from 1 species